GAUGAAGAACGCAUCAAAAUGCGAUAAGUAAUGUGAAUUGCAGAAUUCAGUGAAUCAUCGAAUCUUUGAACGCACAUUGCGCCCGCCAGUAUUCUGGCGGGCAUGCCUGUUCGAGCGUCAUUUCAACCCUCAAGCUCAGCUUGGUGUUGGGACUCGCGGUAACCCGCGUUCCCCAAAUCGAUUGGCGGUCACGUCGAGCUUCCAUAGCGUAGUAAUCAUACACCUCGUUACUGGUAAUCGUCGCGGCCACGCCGUAAAACCCCAACUUCUGAAUGUUGACCUCGGAUCAGGUAGGAAUACCCGCUGAACUUAAGCAUAUCAAUAAGCGGAGGA
rnacentral:misc_RNA from 1 species